rnacentral:tRNA from 1 species
AAAAUCCGCUGGUCUUUGCAAGACCGUGAGGGUUCGAGUCCCUCCAUCCCCA